CCUAGGAACCGGUUUACAAGCCAUUCUUGUAGUUGCCUGGAGAAUACGAGGGACUCAGGCCAAGGCCAGCCCUGCAGGUCUGAAUGGGACUGGGACUUGCUCCCCAGCUCCUUUCAAAGACUUGGGAAGAAAGCCAGGAACUCUUUAACUAAAUGCAAACGGGUGUGAUUUCCCCCUAGUUCCCAAUGCUUGAGACCUAAGGGCAUUAUGCAAAUAACGAUCAGCCGAGAAGCAGAGAAAGAAGAUUUACUAAGGAAUGCUUUUAAGACUUCACCCAAUCUCCAUCAGAGAGGAAGAGUCUGUCGCCCACAGAUCAGGAUACAAAGCCUAAAGGCAAAGUGUCUGUUUAACAUUCUGAAGGAGCACCCAGCCCACUUGGGUCCACAGGCAAUGUUUUUGGGACAUGUACGGAAAUAGCUGGUAGCCUUCUGUCACAGUGGGAAAAAAUUCUGUGAACACGAUGUUCUCGAAGUCUUACUGAACAGUCUUUGAAAAGAAGGACAUUCCAUGCGGGUCCUUCCGCUUCUCUCCGGUGAACACAGGAUGACCUCAGUCCGUCGCUCUGGAUUAAAUUCAUAUAUCCUAGUUCUGUCCACUAAAACACCUAGCUAUCAAGACAACCAAAGAAUGAGCACAGCAGUGCCUAAAUUGUUCAUCUCUAAAUACCAUCUCCAUGCCUCGGGCUCACUGAAGGACCGACAUGCCGGUUCAAGGUCUUGGUCCUGAAAUGUACAUGAUGCACCUGCGUCAUCCUGUUGAGACCCAGAAAAGCCUCGAAGACUCAGGGGGACUGCUGGUGGGGUUUCUUUUUGGAGUGACGAAAUGUUCUGUCAUCAGAUUGGAAAACAUGCUGAAGGAGUUGAGACGAAAAUAUGUCCCUGGACUUCAGCAACCUUUAUCAAAAUGACGGCAAGCUCUCCGAGCUGGAGAAGGUUCAAACAGGCAUGCACAUGGACUGCAGGCCUAACUACUGACAGGCUGAUGUGUCAAGAUCCUGGAGACUAUGAGAGCACCAUGAUUUUACUGCGCUCAGAAUUUGCUUUGUUCCUGAGCGCCUGGGUGGCUCAGUCAGUUGAAUGGCCCACUCUUGAUUUUGGCUCAGGUCA